rnacentral:tRNA from 1 species
GUCAUGAUGGCUGAGUGUUUAAGCGGUGGAUUGUAGCCCCAUUUACAGAGGUUCAACUCCUCUUUAUGACA